CCAGUGCUGCCUCUACUACCAUUAUCUGCCCAGGACCAGAAAAUGGAUAAUCCAGAGAAUGUGGGCCAUAUGGUAGGGAAGGAGUUUGGGAUGUUCUUUGCUCAUGCCACGGCCUUUGUCCUCCUAUUCUUACAGUGUGGAACUCCAGAGUAUAUUGAUCAGCCUCAUCAGAGAUACGAAGAGGCAAUGGAUAGUUAACUGCAGAGUCAUGCUGUUUUCUCCCAUUGCCGAGGCACAGCUGAGAGGAGUUUCGAUGUUCCAAUGCUGGCAAGAUUUAAGUUGAAGGCUGCGGCUACGAGCUUGUGGGCUGAUUCGCAAUGCGUUCCAGUUUGAUCAAAUUCUCCAAAAGUUGCAUUGAUGAGCCAAUGCAUUGCUGAGUGAAUCUUUUUGUAAUUUUCUGUUGCUUAGGUCUACUUACUGAAUCAGUGAAUCUUAUUGAUUCAUGUUGCUCAUGACUUCCUUGUAAAAAAUUAACAUAC